AUGAAUCUCCUAUCUUGGAACUGUCGGGGCUUGGGAUUGGCCUCGACAGUUGGCGAAUUAUGGGACCUUGUUCGGUCUCACAAUCCUACGGUGGUGUUCCUGCGUGAAACAAAAAAGAAGUCUAGGGCUAUGGAAAGAAUAAGGUGGAGUUUGGGCUUUCAGAAUGGUGUUGCGGUGGAUUGUGUGGGGAAAAGUGGUGGCUUAGCGUUGUGGUGGAGAGAC
rnacentral:rRNA from 1 species